UGCGUAGGUGGCGGGGUAAGUCUGGUGUGAAAUCUCCGAGCUCAACUCGGAAAAGCAUUGGAAACUAUCCCGCUAGAGGGUCGGAGGGGAGACUGGAAUUCUCGGUGUAGCAGUGAAAUGCGUAGAUAUCGAGAGGAACACCAGUGGCGAAGGCGAGUCUCUGGACGACUCCUGACACUGAGGCACGAAAGCUAGGGAGCAAACA
rnacentral:rRNA from 1 species